AUGUUGCAGUUCAAGUCUGAAGGUUGUCUGCUGGCAGAAUUGCUUUUUGCUCAAGGUAGUGCUGGGAUUACAAGCAUUAACCACCGUGUCCGGCCAAACUUUCUUAUGAAAACUCCAAGUCCGCCUAAGCUAAGGACAGGAGUUAUAUCUUACAUGAAUUUUAAAACAAGGCCCACCUACUUGAGUAUGCAAUUACACUCUUGAAGGAGAAAAGUCAGAGAACAUAAUGAUGAAAUCACUAGAACUUAACUGGCAUCUGGAAAUAUUUUCUGAUUAUGAAUUGUCAACUAUAAUUUUAUUUCCAGAUGACUUUGUCUCAGUUGUUACACAGUGUUUAUAAAUGUUCUAAAUCAAGGGAACUUGUGGCAAUCUUAGAAUAAAAUAAUACGUUUGAGUUCUUAAUUUCUUUUAAUUAGAAGAAGCUUUUUCUUAAAGUGAAGAGAAUGUUAUUAUUACAUAUUUUUCUUCAGAAAAGACAGGCUGUAUUUUCUAGCAAUUAUGAAUUUGUUAUAUAUGAUGAUCUGGUUCUUGGAACAUUCUUGAAUCUAAUAUCUCUAAGGCAGGUGUGUACAGCAAGAGGUGAAUAACACAAAAAUCAAUAGAAUAAUUAUUAAAAAAUUGAGUUUGUUAGAACUGCACAAUAUUGCUGAAUGUGGAUUGCUCUGAAAUCUGAAAACAUUACUUGUGAAUUGCUUAUAUCCAAAAUGCAGACACAGUGCUGGGUGUUGGUUUAUUUGUUUUCUAUUUUUCAAUCCUCUUUUCUAGUCAAAAUACGUAGAAACUCUGAGGGUGCCCAGGGCAAGCACCAGCCUAUGCCACCACCCUCACAGAGCCCUGGGUAUGCUUGACCAUUGAGGGCCAGGAGGUUAACUGUCUCCUGAACAUUGGCACGGCCUUCUCAGUCUUACUCUCCUGUCCCAGACAACUGUCCUCCAGAUCUGUCACUAUCCGAGGGGUCCUAGGACAGCCAGUCACUAGAUACUUCUCCCAGCCACUAAGUUGUGUCUGGGGAACUUUACUCU
rnacentral:lncRNA from 1 species